rnacentral:rRNA from 1 species
CCUACGGGUGGCUGCAGUGGGGAAUCUUGCGCAAUGGGCGAAAGCGUGACGCAGCAACACCGCGUGAGGGAAGACGGCCUUAGGGUUGUAAACCUCUUUCAGAUGGGACGAAGGUGAUGCGGUGAAUAGCCGAUGUCAUUGACGGUACCGUCAGAAGAAGCUCCGGCUAACUACGUGCCAGCAGCCGCGGUAAUACGUAGGGAGCGAGCGUUGUCCGGAAUCAUUGGGCGUAAAGAGCAUGUAGGUGGAUCAAUUAGUCUGCUGUGAAAGUCAAAGGCUCAACCUUUGAAAGCCGGUGGAUACUGUUGGUCUAGAGUACGGAAGAGGCGAGUGGAAUUCCUGGUGUAGCGGUGGAAUGCGCAGAUAUCAGGAGGAACACCAAUAGCGAAGGCAGCUCGCUGGGACGUUACUGACACUGAGAUGCGAAAGCGUGGGGAGCAAACAGGCUUAGAUACCCUUGUAGUC